GACGAACGCUGGCGGCGUGCUUAACACAUGCAAGUCGAACGGGGAUUAAGUUGGAAAGGCUUCGGCCCGGAAGACAUAAUUCGAGUGGCGGACGGGUGAGUAACGCGUGAGCAACCUGUCCCAGACAGGGGGAUAACACUUGGAAACAGGUGCUAAUACCGCAUAAGACCACGGGGUCACAUGGCUCUGGGGUAAAAGGAGCAAUCCGGUUUGGGGUGGGCUCGCGUCCGAUUAGAUAGGUGGUGAGGUAACGGCCCACCAAGUCAACGAUCGGUAGCCGACCUGAGAGGGGGAGCGGGCACAUUGGAACUGAGAGACGGUCCAAACUCCUACGGGAGGCAGCAGUGGGGAAUAUUGGGCAAUGGGCGAAAGCCUGACCCAGCAACGCCGCGUGAGUGAAGAAGGCCUUCGGGUUGUAAAGCUCUGUUAUAGGGGACGAAGGAAGUGACGGUACCCUAUAAGGAAGCCCCGGCUAACUACGUGCCAGCAGCCGCGGUAAAAC
rnacentral:rRNA from 1 species